AGAGUUUGAUCCUGGCUCAGAGUGAACGCUGGCGGCGUGGCUAAGACAUGCAAGUCGGGCGGCAAGGUAGCAAUACCCUAGAGCGGCGAACGGGUGCGUAACACGUGAACAAUCUUCCGAAAAGUUGGGGAUAGCCCCGGGAAACUGGGAUUAAUACCGAAUGUGGACCUCGGCGGCAUCGCCGGGUAUCCAAAGCUUGCAACGGCGCUUUUCGAGGAGUUCGCGGCCUAUCAGCUAGUUGGCGGGGUAACGGCCCACCAAGGCGAAGACGGGUAACCGGUCUGAGAGGACGAUCGGUCACACCGGAACUGAGACACGGUCCGGACACCUACGGGUGGCAGCAGUUUCGAAUCAUUCACAAUGGGGGCAACCCUGAUGGUGCGACGCCGCGUGGAGGAUGAAGGUCUUCGGAUUGUAAACUCCUGUCAAGGGGGACUAACCCUGUGGUUCAUACCCACAGCUGCAUUAACCCCUAGAGGAAGCAGUGGCUAACUCUGUGCCAGCAGCCGCGGUAAUACAGAGACUGCAAGCGUUACUCGGAAUCACUGGGCGUAAAGGGAGCGCAGGCGGAAUCGUGUGUCGGGUGUGAAACCCUUGGGCUCAACUCAAGGACUGCGCCCGAAACUGCGAUUCUAGGGACUCGGAGGGGCCGGUAGAAUUCCUGGUGGAGCAGUGAAAUGCGUAGAUAUCAGGAGGAAUACCAACGGCGAAGGCAGCCGGCUGGACGAGAUCCGACGCUCAGGCUCGAAAGUAUGGGGAGCAAAAAGGAUUAGAUACCCUAGUAGUCC
rnacentral:rRNA from 1 species